CCUACGGGAGGCAGCAGUGAGGAAUAUUGGUCAAUGGACGAGAGUCUGAACCAGCCAAGUAGCGUGAAGGAUGACUGCCCUAUGGGUUGUAAACUUCUUUUAUAUGGGAAUAAAAUGUUCCACGUGUGGGAUUUUGUAUGUACCAUAUGAAUAAGGAUCGGCUAACUCCGUGCCAGCAGCCGCGGUAAUACGGAGGAUCCGAGCGUUAUCCGGAUUUAUUGGGUUUAGGGGGAGCGUAGGUGGAUUGUUAAGUCAGUUGUGAAAGUUUGCGGCUCAACCGUAAAAUUGCAGUUGAAACUGGCAGUCUUGAGUACAGUAGAGGUGGGCGGAAUUCGUGGUGUAGCGGUGAAAUGCUUAGAUAUCACGAAGAACUCCGAUUGCGAAGGCAGUUCACUGGACUGCAACUGACACUGAGGCUCGAAAGUGUGGGUAUCAAACAGGAUUAGAUACCCUUGUAGUC
rnacentral:rRNA from 1 species